GUAAUUGUUGAUAAUUGUUGAGGUUAUUUCGCCUUAAGAUUUCCACGUAGAAUUGUUAGAAGAACAAGAACAAAUCACAAUGAUUACAGACAUUCAAUUGGCAGUUUUCUCGAACAUUCUAGGAGUUUCCAUCUUUUUAUUGGUUAUCCUUUACCACUAUAUAAGCGCGAAUAGCUCAAAAUGAAUGGUUAUCGUCAUAUUAGUAAUAAUGAAUUAUAUUUCUACAGCAGGAAACUAAUAUGUUAAGAUGUAAAUAAAUUAAGUUUUCGUAUAUUUAAAUAUUGCUUUUACUUUGUCAUUAUAAACAAAUAAUAUGUAUGAAACCGUCAUUAUGUUCUCUAAAAAAUAAAUUGGUAUAAUUGAAA